rnacentral:lncRNA from 1 species
CCUUGUUUAUAACAACUGUUCUUUUAAGAAUGGAAGUGUGGAGAGUAAGGCCAUCACUUUGCAAGCUGCCAGUAACCCAGUGUAUGCCCAGACCCUGCUUUUCAGAGCUAGGUACAAGAGCUGAAUUAGCUGUGAUUAGAAAAUACAGGAAUGUUCUUUAAGGAAGAGAAGCAGAGCAAGCAAGUUUUUCCCUCGGGGUGUCAUCAUCUGGUGCUUCAUGCCCUGUAUGAAUCAGAGGCAGCAAGGGAGACAGAUACCUGAUCUGCUCCCCUCACCUGUGAUGUGCUGCAGCCUGCUACCAGCCAAGGACUGUCUCCAGGAAUUAAACUUACGUAUAAAAUUAUGUUAUGGGUAG